AGGGUUCGAUUCUGGCUCAGGAUGAACGCUGGCGGCGUGCUUAACACAUGCAAGUCGAACGGAGAUAGCGGAGAGCUUGCUUUCUGCUAUCUUAGUGGCGGACGGGUGAGUAACGCGUGGGUAACCUACCCUGUACAGGGGGAUAGCAGCUGGAAACGGCUGAUAAAACCGCAUAAAACGGCAGUACCGCAUGGUACAACCGUCAAAUAUUCAUAGGUACAGGAUGGGCCCGCGUCUGAUUAGCCAGUUGGUGGGGUAACGGCCUACCAAAGCGACGAUCAGUAGCCGGCCUGAGAGGGUGAACGGCCACAUUGGGACUGAGACACGGCCCAAACUCCUACGGGAGGCAGCAGGUGGGGAAUAUUGGACAAUGGGGGAAACCCUGAUCCAGCGACGCCCGCGUGAGUGAAGAAGUAUCUCGGUAUGUAAAGCUCUAUCAGCAGGGAAGAUGAUGACGGUACCUGACUAAGAAGCACCGGCUAAAUACGUGCCAGCCGCAGC
rnacentral:rRNA from 1 species